rfam:Parcubacteria bacterium GW2011_GWC1_38_6 TS98_C0018, whole genome shotgun sequence.
GCCUCCAUAGUGAAACGGAUAUCAUACAUGGCUUCGGACCAUGAGUUCCGGGUUCGAAUCCUGGUGGAGGUA